rnacentral:rRNA from 1 species
GGCCUACGGGAGGCAGCAGUGGGGAAUAUUGCACAAUGGGCGCAAGCCUGAUGCAGCCAUGCCGCGUGUAUGAAGAAGGCCUUCGGGUUGUAAAGUACUUUCAGCGAGGAGGAAGGUGCUGGGUUAAUAACCGCAGCAAUUGACGUUACUCGCAGAAGAAGCACCGGCUA